AAACAAUAACAAUUUGGGUGGGUGCUUUGGCGCUAAUGUGAUGACGGACUGUGUAAAUGCUUUUAGCGUGGCAAAGCUGGAAAAGUAUUUGUGAAGUCAAAGUUUGCUUUCUAUGCAGGGAGGAGCAUAGCGUAAGAGCGAUUGGCGAUUAAUUUGCUUAAGUCUCAAUCCAUAUCCACGGCCAUUAGAGGAUUUGCAUGCCCAGGCGCUACUCUUUCAUGUGGCAUUUUAAAAUCCUGUGCAUGUCGUGCAACAAAAGAACCAGCCAGUCACCGCCGCUGGAAUUCAAUAAGAGGCCACAGGCAUCUCGUCCCACAUAGCAGUAGCUAGGGGACUCAGCAAGGACCAACCAGGAAGCCGGCAUACCCUCCAUGUUUGACAAACAAUCAUUAGAGCCUCCAACGCUAGAAGCAGUGGCAGAGACAGCUGCAAAAGUACAAGUUGAAGCAGAAGGAAUAACGUCCUCAAAACGUAGUACAUAUCAGCAUUACCAUCAGCCACAUCGUUAGUAGCUCGGCAAGCUGUAUCUACCCGGGAUGGCUAAGAGAGGAGGACAGACAGGGAAGGAGUGAGAUAGUUGGCUAGAACACUGUGGAAACUCGGAAUUCUACAACAUUAUUUUGUUGCCUGCCUACACGAAUAUGUGAAAAUGGCUUGAGAUAUUUGAG